rnacentral:rRNA from 1 species
CGGAGGGGGCCAGCGUUGUUCGGAAUCAUUGGGCGUAAAGGGCGCGUAGGCGGCCAAUCAAGUCCGACGUGAAAUUCCUCGGCUCAACCGAGGGCCUGCGUCGGAUACUGCUUGGCUUGAGUCCCGGAGAGGGUAGUGGAAUUCCCAGUGUAGCGGUGAAAUGCGUAGAUACUGGGAGGAACACCGGUGGCGAAGGCGGCUACCUGGACGGGUACUGACGCUGAGGCGCGAAAGCUAGGGGAGCAAACAGGAUUAGAUACCCUGGUAGUCCUAGCUGUAAACGAUGGGCACUUGGUGUUGCGGGUAUCGACCCCUGCAGUGCCGAAGCUAACGCAUUAAGUGCCCCGCCUGGGGAGUACGGUCGCAAGGCUG